AUCGAACGCUGGCGGCAGGCCUAAUACAUGCAAGUCGAACGAGUGGCGGACGGGUGAGUAACGUCUGGGAAACUGCCUGAUGGAGGGGGAUAACUACUGGAAACGGUAGUUAUUACCGCUCACCAUCAGAUGUGCCCAGGCGGGAUUAGGUAGUUGGUGGGGUAACGGCGCACCAAGGAGACGAGCCCUAGCUGGUCUGAGAGGAUGACCGGCCACACUGGAACUGAGACACGGUCCAAACUCCUACGGUAGGCAGCAGUGGGGAAUAUUGCGCAAGGGGCGCAAGCCUGAUGGAGCCAUGCCGCGUGUGUGAAGAAGGCCUUCGGGUGGUAAAGUGCUUUCAUCGGGGAGGCGUUACCGGCAGAGGAAGCACCGGCUAACUACGUGCCAGCAGCCGCGGUAAUUC
rnacentral:rRNA from 1 species